UUUAAAUGUAAAUAAAAACUAAAAGAGUAAUAGUUAAGUUCUUGAAAAUUAAAAAUUUUGGCGGUAUUUUAGUCUAUUCAGAGGAACCUGUCCUGUAAAUGAUAAUCCACGAUUUUAUAUACUUAUUUUAAGUUUUUAUAUCGUUGUAGUUGAUUAUUUUAAAAGAAAUUUAAUAAUCUUUAUUUUUUUUUUAAAAAAAAUAAAUCAGAUCAAGGUGAAGCGUAUAAAUAAGAAGAGAUGGGUUACAAUAAUUUUAAUUAUUUUAGAUAUUAAUUUUAAAAGUUAGUUGAAAUUGGAUUUGAUAGUAAUUUAAUAUAAAUUUUUUAAAUGAUUUAGCUCUAAAAUG
rnacentral:rRNA from 1 species